AGUGAACGCUGGCGGCAGGCCUAAUACAUGCAAGUCGAACGGCAGCACAGCAGAGCUUGCUCUGUGGGUGGCGAGUGGCGGACGGGUGAGGAAUACAUGGGAAUCUGCCCAGUCGUGGGGGAUAACGUAUGGAAACGUACGCUAAUACCGCAUGCGCCCUACGGGGGAAAGCCGGGGACCGCAAGGCCUGGCGCGAUUGGAUGAGCCCAUGUUCGAUUAGCUAGUUGGCGGGGUAAAGGCCCACCAAGGCGACGAUCGAUAGCUGGUCUGAGAGGAUGAUCAGCCACACUGGAACUGAGACACGGUCCAGACUCCUACGGGAGGCAGCAGUAGGGAAUAUUGGACAAUGGGGGCAACCCUGAUCCAGCCAUGCCGCGUGAGUGAAGAAGGCCCUCGGGUUGUAAAGCUCUUUUGUCCGGAAAGAAAAGCAAUCGGUUAAUACCCGGUUGUUCUGACGGUA
rnacentral:rRNA from 1 species